AAAAGAAGAGGAGAACAUUAAGAUCUAAUUUGUAUUUUUUAAAAUAAUUUUGUAGGUGUAUACCCAAAUAUUUGCUUGUUAGGGGCAUUGCAAUUACUGAAAAUUCAAAAACUAGUGUCCUAGUGGGUUUUUUUUCUGCGACGUUUUAUGGGGAAAUCGCUUCCUUCACCAAAUAGAAUUCAAGAUUUUGCCAGAAUAAUCAACUCCAACAGAAUCCACCACCCGACCCAAGUCAAACCCGCAACCAGAAUUAGGUCAGUUCCAUCACCUGUCGCCGCAAAGUCUAGGGCGGUGGUCGACGGCGAUUCAUCGGAGCGGCGGCUGAAGCUGAAGAAGAAUAUGGAAGAAGCAAGCUCUAACUCCAAUUCCAAUUCCAAUACUUCUUCGUCAAACCAGCGGCGGCUACCCCUUGCUGACGUGGUGGCUGACUGUGUCAAGCGGUGGUUCCACGAUACUCUCAAGGAGGCGAAAGCUGGUGACGCUAACAUGCAAGUCCUUGUUGGUCAGAUGUAUUUUAGUGGCUAUGGUAUAGCCAGAGAUGCACAAAAGGGAAGAGCUUGGAUUACCCGAGCUUCAAAGAGUCGGUCAUCGGCAUGGAAAGUGAGUGAUAAACGCCCAGGCUAUAAUGCCAGUGAUUCUGAUUCUGAUGAUACUGUGGAGGACGCAAAGCAAAAUUGAAGCUCUUUUCAUGGGUUAAACAAGCUGUGGCAUUAUCCUUUGUUUCUUCAGGAUUGCUCCUACAUGAAGAGGCCUAUUUGGAAUUUGAGAUGCAGUCACAAAAUCAAUUUGAUGUUCUAUUCCUCUUAAAGUGUAUUUUUGUGCUAUCCAUAUGCGAGCCGUCAGUACCUUGCAGUUUGGUAACAGACAUUCAACUGGACCUGCUGUUCUGAUCUCCAUGAUAUCUUUUUUUUUAUUCACUUGAAGUACUCCAUGUCCAUAGUUCUGACUGGACUGUUAGCAAAUAACAUUAUUUUUAAUUAGUUUUGGUUUUCGUUGUGUCAUUGGUGGUUUGAUCUUGUAAUUCUGGUUUAACUGGGAAGAAAACUGAAAAAGGUGAUUAUUCUUUGUUUA